AGUUUGAUCAUGGCUCAGAACGAACGCUGGCGGCGUGGAUAAGACAUGCAAGUCGAACGGGAUUAUCUUUGUAGCAAUACAAGGGUAGUUCAGUGGCGUAAGGGUGCGUAACACGUGGGCAAUCUGCCGAGAAGUGGGGGAUAGCUCGCCGAAAGGCGAAUUAAUACCGCAUGUGGUUAGUGAAGGAUUCUUCACGAUACCAAAGCCGGGGCAACCUGGCGCUUCUUGAUGAGCCCGCGGCCCUAUCGGCUUGUUGGCGGGGUAACGGCCCACCAAGGCUAUGACGGGUAGCUGGUCUGAGAGGACGACCAGUCACACUGGAACUGAGACACGGUCCAGACACCUACGGGUGGCAGCAGUCGAGAAUUUUUCUCAAUGGGGGAAACCCUGAAGGAGCGACGCCGCGUGGAGGAUGAAGGUCUUCGGAUUGUAAACUCCUGUCAUUUGGGAACAAUUGUCACCGGUUAACUGCCGGGGGCUUGAUAGUACCAAAAGAGGAAGGGACGGCUAACUCUGUGCCAGCAGCCGCGGUAAUACAGAGGUCCCAAGCGUUGUUCGGAUUCAUUGGGCGUAAAGGGUGCGUAGGUGGCGGG
rnacentral:rRNA from 1 species